rnacentral:rRNA from 1 species
AACGAACGCUGGCGGCAUGCCUAACACAUGCAAGUCGAACGAGACCUUCGGGUCUAGUGGCGCACGGGUGCGUAACACGUGGGAAUUUGCCUCGGGGUAUGGAAUAAACUCAGGGAAACUUGAGCUAAUACCAUAUAAUGUCUUCGGACCAAAGAUUUAUCGCCCUGAGAUAAGCCCGCGUAGGAUUAGCUAGUUGGUGGGGUAAAGGCUCACCAAGGCGACGAUCCUUAGCUGGUUUGAGAGGACGAUCAGACACACUGGAACUGAGACACGGUCCAGACUCCUACGGGAGGCAGCAGUGGGGAAUAUUGGACAAUGGGCGAAAGCCUGAUCCAGCAAUGCCGCGUGAGUGAUGAAGGCCUUAGGGUUGUAAAGCUCUUUUACCCGAGAUGAUAAUGACAGUAUCGGGAGAAUAAGCACCGGCUAACUACGUGCCAGCAGCCGCGGUAAAGU